rnacentral:rRNA from 1 species
CACGUAGGGGGCGAGCGUUGUCCGGAUUUAUUGGGCGUAAAGAGCUCGUAGGCGGUUCGGCAAGUCGGGUGUGAAAUUUCGAGGCUCAACCUCGAAACGCCACUCGAUACUGCUGUGACUGGAGUCCGGUAGAGGAGUGCGGAAUUCCUGGUGUAGCGGUGAAAUGCGCAGAUAUCAGGAAGAACACCCGUGGCGAAGGCGGCUCUCUGGGACGGUACUGACGCUGAGACGCGAAAGCGUGGGGGGCGAACAGG